UUGCUCUUGGGGAUUAGUGGCGAACGGGUGAGUAACACGUGAGUAACCUGCCCUUGACUCUGGGAUAAGCGUUGGAAACGACGUCUAAUACCGGAUACGAGCUUCCACCGCAUGGUGAGUUGCUGGAAAGAAUUUUGGUCAAGGAUGGACUCGCGGCCUAUCAGCUUGUUGGUGAGGUAACGGCUCACCAAGGCGACGACGGGUAGCCGGCCUGAGAGGGUGACCGGCCACACUGGGACUGAGACACGGCCCAGACUCCUACGGGAGGCAGCAGUGGGGAAUAUUGCACAAUGGGCGAAAGCCUGAUGCAGCAACGCCGCGUGAGGGACGACGGCCUUCGGGUUGUAAACCUCUUUUAGCAGGGAAGAAGCGAAAGUGACGGUACCUGCAGAAAAAGCACCGGCUAACUACGUGCCAGC
rnacentral:rRNA from 1 species